AGACGUUUGGACCUGGCGUCAGGACGAACGCUGGCGGCGUGCCUAAUACAUGCAAGUCAACGGAGAUAUUCGCUGAUGAAGUACUUCGGUAAUGAAUCUUGGAUAUCUUAGUGGCGGACGGGUGAGUAACGCGUGAGCAACCUGCCUUUCAGAGGGGGAUAACGUUUGGAAACGAACGCUAAUACCGCAUGACAUUAUCUUAUCGCAUGGUAGGAUAAUCAAAGGAGCAAUCCGCUGAAAGAUGGGCUCGCGUCCGAUUAGGUAGUUGGUGGGGUAACGGGCCCACCCAAGCCGACGAUCGGUAGCCGGACUGAGAGGUUGGACGGCCACAUUGGGACUGAGACACGGCCCAGACUCCUACGGGAGGCAGCAGUAAGGGAUAUUGGUCAAUGGGGGAAACCCUGAACCAGCAACGCCGCGUGAGGGAAGACGGUUUUCGGAUUGUAAACCUCUGUCCUCUGUGAAGAUGAUGACGGUAGCAGAGGAGGAAGCUCCGGCUAACUACGUA
rnacentral:rRNA from 1 species